GCUGGGCGUGGUAGCGUGCACCUGUAGUCCCAGCUACUUGGGGGGCUGAGGCAGGAGGAUCGCAUGAGCCUAGGAGAUCAAGGCUGGAGUGAGCUGUGUUCAUGCCACUGCACUCCAGCCUGGGCGACAAAGUGAGACCCUGUCUCAA
rnacentral:sRNA from 1 species